rnacentral:rRNA from 1 species
CAGGGAAAUACCUGUUCCCAUUCCGAACACAGAAGUCAAGCCUGAGUGUGCCGAAGAUACUUGCGGGUUACCCUGCUGGGAAAAUAGGUUGUCGCUA